rnacentral:rRNA from 1 species
CCUACGGGCGGCAGCAGUGGGGAAUAUUGGACAAUGGGCGAAAGCCUGAUCCAGCCAUGCCGCGUGUGUGAAGAAGGCCUUCGGGUUGUAAAGCACUUUCAGUGGGGAAGAAAGCCUUGGGGCUAAUACCCUCGAGGAAGGACAUCACCCACAGAAGAAGCACCGGCUAACUCCGUGCCAGCAGCCGCGGUAAUACGGAGGGUGCGAGCGUUAAUCGGAAUUACUGGGCGUAAAGCGCGCGUAGGCGGUCUGAUAAGCCGGUUGUGAAAGCCCCGGGCUCAACCUGGGAACGGCAUCCGGAACUGUCAGGCUAGAGUGCAGGAGAGGAAGGUAGAAUUCUCGGUGUAGCGGUGAAAUGCGUAGAGAUCGGGAGGAAUACCAGUGGCGAAGGCGGCCUUCUGGACUGACACUGACGCUGAGGUGCGAAAGCGUGGGUAGCAAACAGGAUUAGAUACCCCAGUAGUC